rnacentral:rRNA from 1 species
GUGAGGAAUUUUCCGCAAUGGGCGAAAGCCUGACGGAGCAAUGCCGCGUGAAGGAUGAAGGCCUAUGGGUUGUAAACUUCUUUUCUCAGAAAAGAAUUAUGACGGUAUCUGAGGAAUAAGCAUCGGCUAACUCUGUGCCAGCAGCCGCGGUAAGACAGAGGAUGCAAGCGUUAUCCGGAAUGAUUGGGCGUAAAGCGUCUGUAGGUUGUUUAAAAAGUAUUCUGUCAAAGAUUAGGGCUUAACCCUAGAUAGGCAGAAUAAACUUUUAAGCUAGAGUUUGGUAGAGGCAGAGGGAAUUCCUGGGGGAGCGGUGAAAUGCGUAGAUAUCGGGAGGAACACCAAAGGCGAAGGCACUCUGCUGGGCCAAUACUAACACUGAGAGACGAAAGCGAGGGGAGCAAAUGGGAUUAGAAACCCGGGUAGUCC